rnacentral:rRNA from 1 species
GAUGAACGCUGGCGGCGUGCCUAAUACAUGCAAGUCGAGCGAAUGGAUUAAGAGCUUGCUCUUAUGAAGUUAGCGGCGGACGGGUGAGUAACACGUGGGUAACCUGCCCAUAAGACUGGGAUAACUCCGGGAAACCGGGGCUAAUACCGGAUAAUAUUUUGAACUGCAUGGUUCAAAUUUGAAAGGCGGCUUCGGCUGUCACUUAUGGAUGGACCCGCGUCGCAUUAGGUAGUUGGUGAGGUAACGGCUCACCAAGGCAACGAUGCGUAGCCGACCUGAGAGGGUGAUCGGCCACACUGGGAUUGAGACACGGCCCAGACUCCUACGGGAGGCAGCAGUAGGGUAUCUUCCGCAAUGGACGAAAGUCUGACGGAGCAACGCCGCGUGAGUGAUGAAGGCUUUCGGGUCGUAAAACUCUGUUGUUAGGGAAGAACAAGUGCUAGUUGAAUAAGCUGGCACCUUGACGGUACCUAACCAGAAAGCCACGGCUAACUACGUGCCAGCCGCCGCGGUAA